GUCUAUUAUCAAUGAUUUCUAAUCCUAGGUCUAACCUAGUUAAAUGGACUUGACUCGAGCUAAUCCAUUAACCCAUGAGUUAUGAAAUUAGUGCCUUAGAUCUUUGAUUCUCAAAUCUAAAUCACUUAAUUCUCAAUUAAGUUUUGGGCUAAUAUGGGUUCGGGUUUGAUGUUUGAAAAUAAUUUUCAAUUUUAUAAAAUAUUUUUACAAUCAAUCAUCUAAUAAUCAAAACUUUAAUUUUAGAUCUAAUAUAUAUUAUUUCAGAUCUAAAAUAAAAUUUUAAAAAUUUUUUUAUUGUUCAUCAUCAUGGAAAAGAUCAUGCAACAACC
rnacentral:lncRNA from 1 species